rnacentral:lncRNA from 1 species
CUGUUUAAGAUAAUAUACUACCAAAAUCAUUCUUAACUACGUCAUUAACAGUAAUUAACAAGAGCCACUCUCCUCCGUCCGAUUGCCCAGGUACGUACAAAUACGCAUGCACCAACAUUUUAAUUCAAUAAUAUAAUUCAUUCUUAACCAAUUACCACAAUUAAUUAAUAACUUAAUUCCGUGAGUUUAAUUUCAUGCAGAGCAGGGGAAAACACGGUGCGGAUGAUGAUGAGGCGCCAUCUGAGCGGUGGGCUUCCGAGGAAGUUGAGGAACAUGAACUCAACUUCGACGACGGGUGGGCGGCGGGGCAGCGGCCGGAGGAGGAGUAGCAGUAGCGUUAGCCAUCACGACGAUGAAUCUGCGGCGGCGCCGGCGGCAUACGCUAUGUGGGUGCCGGAUCCUCGAACGGGGAUAUACUUUCCGAGAGGGCAGGAAUGGGUGAUGGAGGAUGUGCCGGAUAACGCAGCCC